CUCUGGGGUCGAAGAGGACACUGGACAACGAGGAUCGCCGUCGCAGCCACUAGAGUAUCGCCCAGGAUUCUGAAGAGGGCCACAUCACCACCGAAGAGGACCGUUGGACAACGAGGGUCACCGUCAGAAUCCUAGCCCAAAAUUGCAAGGAGGGCUGGCAACACCACCGAAGAGGAUUAAUGUACACCGGGGUCUCCGAAGUCGCCAAGGCUUGCCAGGUAUAACGUACACAAUUUUAAGUGUCUAAUCGAGUUUUUUUUGUUUUUUUUUAAUGUAUUUUGGAUAGGCCACAUCACCACCUUAGAGGGUCACUGGACAACGAGAUUCGCCGUCGGAGCUACUAUGAU